rnacentral:rRNA from 1 species
CCUACGGGAGGCUGCAGUGAGGAAUAUUGGUCAAUGGACGAGAGUCUGAACCAGCCAAGUAGCGUGAAGGAUGACUGCCCUAUGGGUUGUAAACUUCUUUUAUAUGGGAAUAAAAUGUUCCACGUGUGGGAUUUUGUAUGUACCAUAUGAAUAAGGAUCGGCUAACUCCGUGCCAGCAGCCGCGGUAAUACGGAGGAUCCGAGCGUUAUCCGGAUUUAUUGGGUUUAAAGGGAGCGUAGGUGGAUUGUUAAGUCAGUUGUGAAAGUUUGCGGCUCAACCGUAAAAUUGCAGUUGAAACUGGCAGUCUUGAGUACAGUAGAGGUGGGCGGAAUUCGUGGUGUAGCGGUGAAAUGCUGAGAUAUCACGAAGAACUCCGAUUGCGAAGGCAGUUCACUGGACUGCAACUGACACUGAGGCUCGAAAGUGUGGGUAUCAAACAGGAUUAGAUACCCGAGUAGUC